rnacentral:rRNA from 1 species
CUAAGUUUGAUGGCGACCGGCGCACGGGUGAGUAACACGUAUCCAACCUGCCGAUGACUCGGGGAUAGCCUUUCGAAAGAAAGAUAAUACCCGAUGGCAUAGUUCUUCCGCAUGGUAGAACUAUUAAAGAAUUUCGGUCAUCGAUGGGGAUGCGUUCCAUUAGGUUGUUGGCGGGGUAACGGCCCACCAAGCCUUCGAUGGAUAGGGGUUCUGAGAGGAAGGUCCCCCACAUUGGAACUGAGACACGGUCCAAACUCCUACGGGAGGCAGCAUG